ensembl:lncRNA
CAUAACCGUGGUGGUUAACUCGCCUGGUUGUUGAUUUCUGCUUUAAUUGCAAUUAGCCGAUUGAUUGCAAAUUGCUGUGCUGUUGGCUGGUUUCCUGCCCCCACAGUCAGGUGGUGGAAGCCUUCACCCCGAUGGUCAGGCAGGUGGGCGCAGUGCAGCCCUAAUGCAGUGAUGGUUCCUGGUGCCCCACUGAGCCAACAGCAGAAGGGGGUGAGGAUCUGGACCCACAGCGCUGCAGCCUGAGAUUAGCAGACCUUUCCAAACUAAAAAUAUUGGAGGGCUGGCAUUCAGCCAUAAUUUCUAAACUAUCCUCCACCAGGGUGAUUCUGCUCAGUCAGAUGUGGACUUUUUUGUACUGAGCCGUGCUUCUCCUUGGGCAGCCAAACCUGUUUGUUCUCUGGAUGCUGGCGUUGUCCUGCAGGCAGCCCCUGCCCUCGUGGGAUCUGAGCACCCACAGGAAGGUUUCGAGGUGUCUCCUGGAUAUAAAUUGCAGACAGCUGCCCUGAAAGGGAUGCACUGCCCUUCUCUGCACUCUCCUUUCAUCAGCACUGUGCUCUCAGUCCACCACUCCUCGUAGCUGCACUGAGCUCCACAGCUGUGACUGAGUGCGUUUUCACACUGUCUACAUAAGCUGGUGGGCAGCUCAGCCUGCCUCUACCCUCCUGGCACAGCCCUGCCCUGGGAGGAGUGCUGUGAUGCCCAGCUCUGCAGCAAGUUGACCAUCCAGACGCUGUCAAUGUAAGCAAGAUAUUUUUUCCUCUUUGGAGAUGCACACAUUUGCUUCUGGAGCAUUUCCAGCCAUUCCUCGGGCGAUGCGCUGAGGACUGCACAGAGGGUUUCAAUGCACCACCAGGAGCUCCACGUCCCCUGCAGACCUGAGCAGCUCCUGUUCUGGCUGUGUGUCUCCAAACCCAAUUUCAUGCUUUUGCAGGGCUCAGACAGAUGUGUUUUGGUGCUGUGAGUGCCCUUUUGCAGCAAUGCUGAUUGCAGAGGUUACCCCACGUGCAAAGUGCCAGCUGCUCCUGCAGCCCCGAGCAGCGUUUCUGCUUCUCCUCGGACACACAGGGAUGUGCUCUGCGUUGUGUUAUCUCUGGCAGGAGCACAGGAAGCUGUGCUAUGUCUCCGUGUUACCAAGCAGGACCACACAACUAUUCAAUGAGCCUCCCUGGAUGGUUUUCACACCACCUCGAACUCCUCUCUCUUACGGGUGGGACUGAAAAAGACCAGUGGCGAGGCUCUGAUGUAACCCCCCUCUUUGAGGCACAUCUCUGCUGCUGGCUGGGGGAGGCUUUGCUCUCUGUUCUCAGUGCAGAAUGCCCCAAGCAUCUUCAUUUAAGAGGCAGCACAAAAUUAGAAGCUUUUUUUUUUUUUUUUUUCCUUUCUCCCUCCAUGAAACUGAUUUAUUUUUCCUUUGGCUCCCACUGUGCACCACGUGCAGAAAGAAUGCACCUAAUGAGUGGCUGGAGCUCAGCAGCAGAGGGACCUGGAGGGGAACCAGGGGUUCCUGCCUCCCCUUGCACAGCUGGAGGGGCACAUCUGCUCCUGUUGGAGCAGCACAUGCAGCCUCAGGUAACGAUGGGUGCCAAUGGGUGCCCAAGGAUGUGGCACUCUGUUCCUCCUCUACAUAACUUGGCCACUGUCAGAGCUUUCUACGCCAUUCUUGGGGCUCCACAGUGAUGGAGAUGCCCGGAGUACAGAGCACGUUGGCUUAGGGGCAGAGCUCUGUUCUAUGCUAUCAGUUUUGGUGCGAGAUGUGUUGUAUAUCCAGGCAGUUUCUCUUAUAAAAUGUGCGUGAGGACUUUAUGUAAGCAGGGCAGGGAGCAAGCUGUGUGUUUUAAUCUUGCGCAAUUAUCUCCACGCCAGAGCAGCCCAAGCUUUCCUCUUGCCCUGGAGCCAGUGCUUGUUCACAUCUAUUUACAAUCAGAUGACAUGAAGCACCCGGAGUGAUGCGCCCUGCAUGAUACCACUGCAUGCAGAGAACAUGGGAAAUCGUCAUGAAGGUGGAUGUGGAGCUUCUGGUGGUGGAGCUGAGUUUUCUUUGAGGUGGUGGUGGGGAAACAGAGAGUUUUUGGCUGCACAGAAGGUGAUAAAAACAGCCCUGGUUGUAUGCAAAGAGUUGUAACCAGGAGGAG